rnacentral:rRNA from 1 species
UACAGAGGGUGCAAGCGUUAAUCGGAUUUACUGGGCGUAAAGCGUGCGUAGGUGGUUUCGUAAGUCGGAUGUGAAAGCCCCGGGCUCAACCUGGGAACUGCAUUCGAUACUGCGAGACUCGAGUUUGGUAGAGGGUGGCGGAAUUCCCGGUGUAGCGGUGAAAUGCGUAGAUAUCGGGAGGAACAUCAAUGGCGAAGGCAGCCACCUGGGCCUGAACUGACACUGAGGCACGAAAGCGUGGGUAGCAAACAGGAUUAGAUACCCUGGUAGUCCACGCCGUAAACGAUGAGAACUUGACGUUGGUUCGUUUUACGAAUCGGUGUCGUAGCUAACGCGAUAAGUUCUCCGCCUGGGGAGUACGGCCGCAAGGUUGAA